UGAAAACAUAGGAGAAACCAUUCAUGAAAAAAUCUUAUAGUUAGAAGGUACCAUUCAUUUAAUUAGCAAUUAAAUUUAAAUUGGAAUUUUUAAGAAAAAGUUCUGUUUUUGAAAUCAUUACAAGACAUAUCUGGAGGUUAAACAUCAAAACACAGCGCCAUAUCAUGUAAAAUAAAAUUGAUCUAGACUCAAGAUUGCCAGAGAUGGCUGCUGAUAAG
rnacentral:lncRNA from 1 species